ACUACAUGAAGCUGGAAUCGCUAGUAAUCNCGGAUCAGAAUGCCGCGGUGAAUACGUUCCCGGGUCUUGUACACACCGCCCGUCACACCAUGGGAGUCGGAAAUGCCCGAAGUCUGUGACCCAACCUUAGGGAGGGAGCAGCCGAAGGCAGGUCGGAUGACUGGGGUGAAGUCGUAACAAGGUACC
rnacentral:rRNA from 1 species